rnacentral:rRNA from 1 species
AUACGUAGGGUGCGAGCGUUGUCCGGAAUUACUGGGCGUAAAGAGCUCGUAGGCGGUUUGUCGCGUCGUCUGUGAAAUCCUCCAGCUUAACUGGGGGCGUGCAGGCGAUACGGGCAGACUUGAGUACCACAGGGGAGACUGGAAUUCCUGGUGUAGCGGUGAAAUGCGCAGAUAUCAGGAGGAACACCGGUGGCGAAGGCGGGUCUCUGGGUAGUAACUGACGCUGGGGAGCGAAAGCAUGGGGAGCAAACAGGAUUAGAUGCCCUGGUAGUCCAUGCCGUAAACGGUGGGCGCUAGGUGUGGGGUCCUUCCACGGAUUCCGUGCCGCAGCUAACGCAUUAAGCGCCCCGCCUGGGGAGUACGGCCGCAAGGCUAAAACUCAAAGGAAUUGACGGGG